rnacentral:rRNA from 1 species
UUAAAAUGUAAUUUAUUUACUAAAGUAGUAGUAGUUAUGUUCUUGAAACUUAAAAAAUUUGGCGGUAUUUUAGUCUAUUCAGAGGAACCUGUCCUGUAAUCGAUAAUCCACGUUGGACCUAACUUAAAUUUGUUUAUCAGUUUGUAUACCGUCGUUAUAAGAAUAUUUUAUUAGAACAAUAAUUUUCUAGAAUUUUUAUAAAAAUUUAUAUCAGAUCAAGGUGCAGCUUAUGUUUAAGUAGAGAUGGGUUACAAUAAAUAUAUUUAUACGAAUUAAUUUUUGAAAUAAAAUUAUAAAGGUGGAUUUGAAUGUAAAAUUAUAAAGAUUAAUAAUUUGAUUUUAGCUCUAAAAUAUG